GCCGCCAUAGCACAGUUGGCAGUGCGCGUGCCUAGUAAGCACGAGGUCCAGAGUUCAAAUCUCUGUGGCGGCA